GUCGAACGCUGGCGGCGUGCUUUAUACAUGCAAGUCGAACGCAGUGGGGCCGGGUGAGUAACACGUGGGUAACCUCCCAUCAGAGGGGAUAACACUUGGCAACAGGUGCUAAACCCAUACCGCUGGAUGUACCCGCGGUGCAUUAGCUAGUUGGUGAGGUAACGGCUCACCACGGCAACGAUGCAUAGCCGACUUGAAAGGGUGAUCGGCAACACUGGGACUGAGACACGGCCCAGACUCCUACGGGAGGCAGCAGUAGGGAAUCUUCGGCAAUGGACGAAAAUCUGACCGAGCAACGCCGCGUGAAUGAAGAAGGUUGUCGGAUCGUAAAGCGCUGUUGUUAGAGAAGCGGUAUCUAACCAAAAAGCCACGGCUAACUACGUGCCAGCAGCCGCGGUAAUUC
rnacentral:rRNA from 1 species